rnacentral:rRNA from 1 species
CAAUACAUGCAUCAAGCCUUGGCCUUCGGGUUAGGGUGCAAUUAUUGGAGCAAAACCAGUCUCGUACUGUUUGCUAACUCAGGAUAAUUCUGCAUAUCGCAUGGUCUUGUACCGGCGAAGUUUCUUUCAAGUAUCUGCUUUAUCAACUAUCGUUGGUAGUUUAUUGGUCUACCAUGGUGUUGACGGGUAACGGAGAAUCAGGGUUUGACUCCGGAGAGGGAGCCUUAGAAACGGCUACCAUGUCUAAGGAUAGCAGCAGGCGCGAAAAUUACCCAAUAUCAAAACGAUGAGGUAGUGACGAGAAAUAACAAGAUCGUUCUCUUUGAGAUCGAUUAUUGGAAUGAGUACAAUCCAGAAAUUUUAACGAGUACCUACGAGAGGGCAAGUCUGGUGCCAGCAGCCGCGGUAAUUCCAGCUCUCGUAAUGUAUAGAAUUAUUGUUGCGAUUAAAAAGUUCGUAGUUGGAUUGCAACGCAGGUAUGGGUCCACCUUCUGGGUGCGUACUCAAUGCCUGCAUUUUGCAUGUUUUUGUGGCGUCGCUUCGGUGGCGUUCAUGAUGCAUGCAGGAUUACUUUGAACGGCUCAAGUGCUUAAAGCAAGUCUUAUGACUGAAUACCGGUGCAUGGAAUAAUGGAACAAGGUUGUGGCUGAGUUUUAUUGGUUUUGUCGGCUAAAACAAUGGUUAACAGGAACAGCCGGGGGCAUUCGUAUCGCUGCGCGAGAGGUGAAAUUCGUGGACCGUAGCGAGACGUCCUACAGCGAAGGCAUUUGCCAAGAGUGUUUUCAUUAAUCAAGAACGAAAGUCAGAGGUUCGAAGGCGAUUAGAUACCGCUCUAGUUCUGACCGUAAACGAUGCCAACUGUCGAUCCGCUUGUGGAUUUUAUUCAUGAGCGGGGAGAUUUCCGGAAACGAAAGUUUUUCGGUUUCGGGGGAAGUAUGGUUGCAAAGCUGAAACUUAAAGGAAUUGACGGAAGGGCACCACCAGGAGUGGAGCUUGCGGCUUAAUUUGACUCAACACGGGAAAUCUCACCCGGCCAGUACAUCGUAAGGAUUGACAGACUGACAGCUCUUUCAUGAUUCGGUGAAUGGUGGUGCAUGGCCGUUCUUAGUUCGUGGAUUGAUUUGUCUGGUUUAUUCCGAUAACGAACGAGACUUUAACUAUUAAAUAGUGCGCAUGUUGCUUCGGCUGCGUGUGAUCACUUCUUAAAGGAAUUUGUGGUUUUCAACCUCAAGAAAUUGAGCAAUAACAGGUCUGUGAUGCCCUUAGAUGUUCGGGGCCGCACGCGUGCUACAAUGGUGGUAACAGCGUGAUUGUCCUUUUCCGACAGGAAUUGGCAAACAGUUGAGAUAUUAUUAUGGCUGGAAUUGAGUGUUGAAAUUUUCUCUCAUGAACGAGGAAUUCCAAGUAAAUGUGAGUCAUUAACUUGCAUUGAUUACGUCCCUGCCCUUUGUACACACCGCCCGUCGCUGCCCGGGACUGAGUUACUUCGAGAAAACUAGGGAUCGUUGGAGUUCGAUGUUUCGGCAUUGUCUUUGGUGAGAACUAGUUUAAUCGCAGUGGCUUGAACCGGGCAAAAGUCGUAACAAGGUAGCCGUAGGUGAACCUUCGGCUGGAUCAUUA